rnacentral:rRNA from 1 species
UACGGAGGGUGCAAGCGUUAUCCGGAUUCACUGGGCUUAAAGGGUGCGUAGGUGGGUUGGUAAGUCAGUGGUGAAAUCUCCAGGCUUAACUUGGAAACUGCCAUUGAUACUAUCAGUCUUGAAUACCGUUGAGGUGGGCGGAAUAUGUCAUGUAGCGGUGAAAUGCAUAGAUAUGACAUAGAACACCAAUUGCGAAGGCAGCUCACUAAACGGUCAUUGACGCUGAGGCACGAAAGCGUGGGGAUCAAACAGG